rnacentral:rRNA from 1 species
CGGGUGAGUAAUACAUCGGAACGUGUCUUCUAGUGGGGGAUAACUGCCCGAAAGGGCAGCUAAUACCGCAUGAGACCUGAGGGUGAAAGCGGGGGAUCGCAAGACCUCGCGCUGGAAGAGCGGCCGAUGUCCGAUUAGCUAGUUGGUGAGGUAAAGGCUCACCAAGGCGACGAUCGGUAGCUGGUCUGAGAGGUUGAACGGCCACAUUGGGACUGAGACACGGCCCAG